UGAUAUUAUUCUACAAUAUCCAGCGUGUGUGUAAAAAGUAACUGUGUAAAUGAAUAAACAAUUCCAUUUCAGUUAAAUGUUGUUAAAACAUAAUUAUAAUAUAAUAUAUAUACCCGUAUUGCACUUGGGUAGAAUGUGUUGGUGAGUCUGGAUGUGCGGGCCUUGAUGGACCGGUACCUCUUUCCUGAGGGCAACAGUGAGAAAAGGCUGUGCCCAGGGUGUGAACUAUCGAAGAUGACGCUUCUUAAACAGUUAUUCUGUAACUAAAUACAGCACUCUGCAGUACAACAUGAGAUUUACUGGUAAAUACUGUGUAGACUUUCCAAUAAUAAACUGUAUUUUUAUAAUGUUGCCACUGUAUUCAGUAUUUACCUUAACUUAACCUCUUGUCGUGGCAAAAAUGUACUUCUACAUAUGAGGGUAAAGGAAGUCAGCGUACAGGAAAUUUGACCAGCUUUUGUUCAGGAGGAGUGUGACGCUGUAAACUAAAUACAUUCUGUUCUUCUCUUCUGCUUCAGGAGGCUGAAUUUCUCAGGGAUUUCAGUUUCUGAAGCAGCUUUGUAAUUUCCUUUUAGUGUCAAAGAUCCUGUGUUGAAAACAAAAUAAACAUUUUGUGUGCCUUCUGAA